GACGAACGCUGGCGGCGUGCUUAAUACAUGCAAGUCAACUGAACUUAAGGUAGCAAUAUUUUAAGGGGGGUGGCGCACGGGUGAGUAACACGUAGGUAAUCUGCCUUUAGGUCUGGCACAACCUACCGAAAGGUAGGCUAAUAUCAGAUGAUGCAGCGGCUCGACAUCGAGACAGUUGUUAAACCUUCGGGGCCUAAAGAUGAGCCUGCGUCUGAUUAGGUAGUUGGCGGAGUAAUAGCCCACCAAGCCUGCGAUCAGUAGCUGGUCUGAGAGGAUGAUCAGCCACACUGGAACUGAGACACGGUCCAGACUCCUACGGGAGGCAGCAGUAAGGAAUAUUGCUCAAUGGCCGAAAGGCUGAAGCAGCAACGCCGCGUGGAGGACGAAAUACUUUUGUAUGUAAACUCCUGUAAGAAGGG
rnacentral:rRNA from 1 species